GGGUCAGUAGGUUGGUCGUGCCACCGGUACGUACUGGUCUCACUGAUCCCUCCUUCCUGAAGAACCGUAAUGCCAUUAAUUUGGUGUUGCGGGGGAACAGGACUGUUACUUUGAAAAAAUUAGAGUGUUUAAAGCAAGCUAACGCUUGAAUACAUUAGCAUGGAAUAAUGAAAUAGGACGAUCGAUCCUAUUUUGUUGGUUUCUAGGAUUGACGUA
rnacentral:rRNA from 1 species